GUUGCCUUGGAGCCAGAGAGACGCAGCUAGGCCUGCACGGCUGUGGAGAGAUCCUGCCACGGGCCUUGUUCACCAUGUCGGUGCUGGAUGCGCUUUGGGAGGAUCGGGAUGUCCGUUUCGACCUGUCCGCGCAGCAAAUGAAAACAAGACCUGGAGAAGUCCUUAUUGAUUGUUUAGAUUCCAUUGAAGACACCAAAGGAAAUAAUGGAGAUAGAGGUGAGUAUAUUUUUAAAUGUAUCUUAUAUUCCUGGUUUAAUUUACAAAUGUUGAAUCAUAUUAGCUAGAGAAUAUAUGAAACAGCAUCAUUUGUCAGUGUAAUUGUGAGAAUAGGAGAGUUAAAUUCACAUAAGACUUUUCUCAGAUUUAAACAGAAGACAGGAUAGGUAUUAAACAUGUAGUUUGGUCCUUCAGUAAGUCCUGGUUCUAACAUCACCUUUAUCCAUUGUAGCUGUUAAAACUCAAGUAGACCUGUUUGCAAGGGGCAUUAGUUCUGACCGUUAGAUCUGUCUUCCCAAAAAAGGAUAUGGGGUAGUGGAAUAUAAGUAGGUCAUAGCUGUAGUACCUGGAGCCAUGCUUCCUUUUCAAAAAUUCAG
rnacentral:lncRNA from 1 species